rnacentral:rRNA from 1 species
UACGAAGGGUGCAAGCGUUACUCGGAAUUACUGGGCGUAAAGCGUGCGUAGGCGGUUCGUUAAGUCUGUCGUGAAAGCCCUGGGCUCAACCUGGGAAUUGCGAUGGAUACUGGCGAGCUAGAGUACGGUAGAGGAUGGUGGAAUUCCCGGUGUAGUGGUGAAAUGCGUAGAUAUCGGGAGGAACACCAGUGGCGAAGGCGGCUCUCUGGGCAGAUACUGACGCUGAGACGCGAAAGCGUGGGGAGCAAACAGG